GACGAACGCUGGCGGCGUGCCUAAUACAUGCAAGUAGAACGCUGAAGAGAGGAGCUUACUCUUCUUAGAUGAGUUGCGAACGGGUGAGUAACGCGUAGGUAACCUGCCUUGUAGCGGGGGAUAACUAUUGGAAACGAUAGCUAAUACCGCAUAACAAUGGAUGACACAUGUCAUUUAUUUGAAAGGGGCAAUUGCUCCACUACAAGAUGGAUCUGCGUUGUAUUAGCUAGUAGGUGAGGUAAUGGCUCACCUAGGCGACGAUACAUAGCCGACCUGAGAGGGUGGUCUGCCACAAGUGGACUGAGACACGGCCCAGACUCCUGCGGGAGACAGCAGUAGGGAAUCUUCUGCAAUGGGGGCAACACUGGCCGAGCAACGCCGCGUGAGUGAAGAAGGGUUUCGGAUCGUAAAGCUCUGUUGUUAGUCAAGAACGGGUGUGAGAGUGGAAAGUUCACACUGUGACGGUAGCUUACCAGAAAGAGACGGCUAACUACGUG
rnacentral:rRNA from 1 species